rnacentral:rRNA from 1 species
GUCUACGACCAUGCUACCCUGAACAAGCCCGAUCCCAUGCGAUCUCAGAAGCUAAUUAGGGUCAGGCCUGGUUAGUACUUGGAUGGGAGACCACCUAGGAAGACCAGUUGCUACAGGCA